AUUGAACGCUGGCGGCAGGCCUAACACAUGCAAGUCGAACGAGUGGCGGACGGGUGAGUAAUGUCUGGGCAACUGCCUGAUGGAGGGGGAUAACUACUGGAAACGGUAGCUAAUACUGCAUAACAUCAGAUGUGCCCAGAUGGGAUUAGCUUGUUGGUGGGGUAACGGCUCACCAAGGCGACGAUCCCUAGCUGGUCUGAGAGGAUGACCAGCCACACUGGGACUGAGACACGGUCCAGACUCCUACGGGAGGCAGCAGUGGGGAAUAUUGGACAAUGGGCGCAAGCCUGAUACAGCCAUGCCGCGUGUAUGAAGAAGGCCUUCGGGUUGUAAAGUACUUUCAGCGGGGAGGCGUUACCCGCAGAAGAAGCACCGGCUAACUCCGUGCCAGCCGCCGCGGUAAUAC
rnacentral:rRNA from 1 species